rnacentral:rRNA from 1 species
UACGGGGGGCAGCAGUAGGGAAUCUUCGGCAAUGGACGAAAGUCUGACCGAGCAACGCCGCGUGAGUGAAGAAGGUUUUCGGAUCGUAAAACUCUGUUGUUAGAGAAGAACAAGGACGUUAGUAACUGAACGUCCCCUGACGGUAUCUAACCAGAAAGCCACGGCUAACUACGUGCCAGCAGCCGCGGUAAUACGUAGGUGGCAAGCGUUGUCCGGAUUUAUUGGGCGUAAAGCGAGCGCAGGCGGUUUCUUAAGUCUGAUGUGAAAGCCCCCGGCUCAACCGGGGAGGGUCAUUGGAAACUGGGAGACUUGAGUGCAGAAGAGGAGAGUGGAAUUCCAUGUGUAGCGGUGAAAUGCGUAGAUAUAUGGAGGAACACCAGUGGCGAAGGCGGCUCUCUGGUCUGUAACUGACGCUGAGGCUCGAAAGCGUGGGGAGCAAACAGGAUUAGAUACC